AGGACGAACGCUGGCGGCGUGCUUAAUACAUGCAAGUCGAACGGAUACCAUCCAGUAGCAAUACUGGUGAAGUAUUAGUGGCGAACGGGUGCGUAACACGUGAGAAACCGACCCCAGUCUCUGGAAUAACAGAUGGAAACGUCUGCUAAUACCGGAUACCGUCUCUCCACCGCAUGGUGGGUUGACGAAAGAUUCAUCGGAUUGGGAUGGUCUCGCGGCCUAUCAGCUUGUUGGUGAGGUAACGGCUUACCAAGGCUUUGACGGGUAGCUGGUCUGAGAGGAUGAUCAGCCACACUGGGACUGAGACACGGCCCAGGCUCCUACGGGAGGCAGCAGUAGGGAAUCUUGCGCAAUGGGCGAAAGCCUGACGCAGCAACGCCGCGUGCGGGAUGAAGGCCUUCGGGUUGUAAACCGCUUUCAGAAGGAACGAAAUGACGGUACUUCAGAAGAAGGUGCGGCCAACUACGUGCCAGCAGCCGCGGUAA
rnacentral:rRNA from 1 species